GGAUGCCUACGGGACGCAGCAGUGAGGAAUAUUGGUCAAUGGUCGGGAGACUGAACCAGCCAAGCCGCGUGAGGGAGGAAGGUACAGAGUAUCGUAAACCUCUUUUGUCAGGGAACAAAGACUGGGACGCGUCCCCGGAUGAGUGUACCUGAAGAAAAAGCAUCGGCUAACUCCGUGCCAGCAGCCGCGGUAAUACGGAGGAUGCGAGCGUUAUCCGGAUUUAUUGGGUUUAAAGGGUGCGCAGGCUGUUUCGUAAGUCGUGUGUGAAAGGCGCGGGCUCAACCCGCGG
rnacentral:rRNA from 1 species